rnacentral:rRNA from 1 species
UACGGGGGGAGCAAGCGUUGUCCGGAAUUACUGGGCGUAAAGCGCGCGUAGGCGGCGCGGUAAGUCAGAUGUGAAAGCCCCGGGCUCAACCUGGGAAUGGCAUUUGAUACUGUCGAGCUAGAGUGUGAUAGAGGGUGGCGGAAUUCCCGGUGUAGCGGUGAAAUGCGUAGAGAUCGGGAAGAACACCGAUGGCGAAGGCAGCCACCUGGGUCAACACUGACGCUGAGGUGCGAAAGCGUGGGGAGCAAACAGG